rnacentral:misc_RNA from 1 species
UUAAGUUCAGCGGGUAUCCCUACCUGAUUCGAGGUCAAGUUAAAAGAAAAUGGGCUUGAUGGAUGCUGAAUCCGCACAGGCUCCAAGAAGCGCGAACAGUGCUGCGCGAUUAGGAGGCCCGGCAGGACCGCUGCCAAUACCUUUGGGGCGAGUCCGUAGACAGACGCCCAACACCAAGCAAAGCUUGAGGGUGUAAAUGA